GGGAGCGCUCGGAAUCUGCUUUCUCGAUCUUGCCGGACAUGUCGGAGCCGGGGCUCGGCGCUCAGGCCCGGCCGCGCCAGGAGCCAGCGAGCGGCCGCGGCGCCGCCACCGCCGCCUCCUCCCGCUGCCGCCGGCCGGCCGCGAUCCGGGAAAGGCGCCGCGGCGGCCCCUGGGGCUCGGCAGGCAGGCAGGCAGCGCUCCC
rnacentral:lncRNA from 1 species